rnacentral:rRNA from 1 species
UACAGAGGGCCCUAGCGUUGUUCGGAUUCACUGGGCGUAAAGGGUGCGUAGGUGGCCAGGUAAGUCGGAUGUGAAAGCUCGGAGCUCAACUCCGAAAUGGCAUUGGAAACUACCUUGCUCGAGGGUUGGAGGGGGGACUGGAAUACUUGGUGUAGCAGUGAAAUGCGUAGAUAUCAAGUGGAACACCAAUGGCGAAGGCGAGUCCCUGGACAGCUCCUGACACUGAGGCACGAAAGCGAGGGGAGCAAACAGG